GGGUUGUGAGGUUAAGCGACUAAGCGUACACGGUGGAUGCCCUGGCAGUCAGAGGCGAUGAAGGACGUGCUAAUCUGCGAUAAGCGUCGGUAAGGUGAUAUGAACCGUUAUAACCGGCGAUUUCCGAAUGGGGAAACCCAGUGUGUUUCGACACACUAUCAUUAACUGAAUCCAUAGGUUAAUGAGGCGAACCGGGGGAACUGAAACAUCUAAGUACCCCGAGGAAAAGAAAUCAACCGAGAUUCCCCCAGUAGCGGCGAGCGAACGGGGAGCAGCCCAGAGCCUGAAUCAGUGUGUGUGUUAGUGGAAGCGUCUGGAAAGGCGCGCGAUACAGGGUGACAGCCCCGUACACAAAAAUGCACAUGCUGUGAGCUCGAUGAGUAGGGCGGGACACGUGGUAUCCUGUCUGAAUAUGGGGGGACCAUCCUCCAAGGCUAAAUACUCCUGACUGACCGAUAGUGAACCAGUACCGUGAGGGAAAGGCGAAAAGAACCCCGGCGAGGGGAGUGAAAAAGAACCUGAAACCGUGUACGUACAAGCAGUGGGAGCACGCUUAGGCGUGUGACUGCGUACCUUUUGUAUAAUGGGUCAGCGACUUAUAUUCUGUAGCAAGGUUAACCGAAUAGGGGAGCCGAAGGGAAACCGAGUCUUAACUGGGCGUUAAGUUGCAGGGUAUAGACCCGAAACCCGGUGAUCUAGCCAUGGGCAGGUUGAAGGUUGGGUAACACUAACUGGAGGACCGAACCGACUAAUGUUGAAAAAUUAGCGGAUGACUUGUGGCUGGGGGUGAAAGGCCAAUCAAACCGGGAGAUAGCUGGUUCUCCCCGAAAGCUAUUUAGGUAGCGCCUCGUGAAUUCAUCUCCGGGGGUAGAGCACUGUUUCGGCAAGGGGGUCAUCCCGACUUACCAACCCGAUGCAAACUGCGAAUACCGGAGAAUGUUAUCACGGGAGACACACGGCGGGUGCUAACGUCCGUCGUGAAGAGGGAAACAACCCAGACCGCCAGCUAAGGUCCCAAAGUCAUGGUUAAGUGGGAAACGAUGUGGGAAGGCCCAGACAGCCAGGAUGUUGGCUUAGAAGCAGCCAUCAUUUAAAGAAAGCGUAAUAGCUCACUGGUCGAGUCGGCCUGCGCGGAAGAUGUAACGGGGCUAAACCAUGCACCGAAGCUGCGGCAGCGACGCUUAUGCGUUGUUGGGUAGGGGAGCGUUCUGUAAGCCUGCGAAGGUGUGCUGUGAGGCAUGCUGGAGGUAUCAGAAGUGCGAAUGCUGACAUAAGUAACGAUAAAGCGGGUGAAAAGCCCGCUCGCCGGAAGACCAAGGGUUCCUGUCCAACGUUAAUCGGGGCAGGGUGAGUCGACCCCUAAGGCGAGGCCGAAAGGCGUAGUCGAUGGGAAACAGGUUAAUAUUCCUGUACUUGGUGUUACUGCGAAGGGGGGACGGAGAAGGCUAUGUUGGCCGGGCGACGGUUGUCCCGGUUUAAGCGUGUAGGCUGGUUUUCCAGGCAAAUCCGGAAAAUCAAGGCUGAGGCGUGAUGACGAGGCACUACGGUGCUGAAGCAACAAAUGCCCUGCUUCCAGGAAAAGCCUCUAAGCAUCAGGUAACAUCAAAUCGUACCCCAAACCGACACAGGUGGUCAGGUAGAGAAUACCAAGGCGCUUGAGAGAACUCGGGUGAAGGAACUAGGCAAAAUGGUGCCGUAACUUCGGGAGAAGGCACGCUGAUAUGUAGGUGAGGUCCCUCGCGGAUGGAGCUGAAAUCAGUCGAAGAUACCAGCUGGCUGCAACUGUUUAUUAAAAACACAGCACUGUGCAAACACGAAAGUGGACGUAUACGGUGUGACGCCUGCCCGGUGCCGGAAGGUUAAUUGAUGGGGUUAGCCGCAAGGCGAAGCUCUUGAUCGAAGCCCCGGUAAACGGCGGCCGUAACUAUAACGGUCCUAAGGUAGCGAAAUUCCUUGUCGGGUAAGUUCCGACCUGCACGAAUGGCGUAAUGAUGGCCAGGCUGUCUCCACCCGAGACUCAGUGAAAUUGAACUCGCUGUGAAGAUGCAGUGUACCCGCGGCAAGACGGAAAGACCCCGUGAACCUUUACUAUAGCUUGACACUGAACAUUGAGCCUUGAUGUGUAGGAUAGGUGGGAGGCUUAGAAGUGUGGACGCCAGUCUGCAUGGAGCCGACCUUGAAAUACCACCCUUUAAUGUUUGAUGUUCUAACGUUGACCCGUAAUCCGGGUUGCGGACAGUGUCUGGUGGGUAGUUUGACUGGGGCGGUCUCCUCCUAAAGAGUAACGGAGGAGCACGAAGGUUGGCUAAUCCUGGUCGGACAUCAGGAGGUUAGUGCAAUGGCAUAAGCCAGCUUGACUGCGAGCGUGACGGCGCGAGCAGGUGCGAAAGCAGGUCAUAGUGAUCCGGUGGUUCUGAAUGGAAGGGCCAUCGCUCAACGGAUAAAAGGUACUCCGGGGAUAACAGGCUGAUACCGCCCAAGAGUUCAUAUCGACGGCGGUGUUUGGCACCUCGAUGUCGGCUCAUCACAUCCUGGGGCUGAAGUAGGUCCCAAGGGUAUGGCUGUUCGCCAUUUAAAGUGGUACGCGAGCUGGGUUUAGAACGUCGUGAGACAGUUCGGUCCCUAUCUGCCGUGGGCGCUGGAGAACUGAGGGGGGCUGCUCCUAGUACGAGAGGACCGGAGUGGACGCAUCACUGGUGUUCGGGUUGUCAUGCCAAUGGCACUGCCCGGUAGCUAAAUGCGGAAGAGAUAAGUGCUGAAAGCAUCUAAGCACGAAACUUGCCCCGAGAUGAGUUCUCCCUGAC
rnacentral:rRNA from 1 species